GAUGAAGAACGCAGCGAAAUGCGAUAAGUAGUGUGAAUUGCAGAAUUCAGUGAAUCGUCGAAUCUUUGAACGCACAUUGCGCCCCAUGGUAUUCCGUGGGGCAUGCCUGUUCGAGCGUCAUUUACCCCCUCAAGCUCCGCUUGGUGUUGGGCGUCUGUCCCGCUUCGCGCGCGGACUCGCCCCAAAGGUAUUGGCAGCGGUCGUGCCAGCUUCUCGCGCAGCACAUUGCGCUUCUCGAGGCACCGGUGGGCCCGCGUCCAUCAAGCUCACCCCCCCAGUUUGACCUCGGAUCAGGUAGGGAUACCCGCUGAACUUAAGCAUAUCAAUAAGCGGAGGA
rnacentral:misc_RNA from 1 species